rnacentral:rRNA from 1 species
GCAAGGUUUUUAGCUGACCCGUACUAAUCCCCAACAUGAG